rnacentral:rRNA from 4 species
GACUCUCGGCAACGGAUAUCUCGGCUCUCGCAUCGAUGAAGAACGUAGCGAAAUGCGAUACUUGGUGUGAAUUGCAGAAUCCCGUGAACCAUCGAGUCUUUGAACGCAAGUUGCGCCCGAAGCCACUAGGCCGAGGGCACGCCUGCCUGGGCGUCACAC